rnacentral:rRNA from 2 species
AUGGUUAAGUUAGAAAGGGCGCACGGUGAAUGCCUUGGCACUAGGAGCCGAUGAAGGACGGGACUAACACCGAUAUGCUUCGGGGAGCUGUAAGUAAGCUUUAAUCCGGAGAUUUCCGAAUGGGGAAACCCACUGUUCGUAAUGGAGCAGUAUCUUUAUCUGAAUAUAUAGGAUAUUGAAGGCAGACCCGGGGAACUGAAACAUCUAAGUACCCGGAGGAAGAGAAAGCAAAUGCGAUUUCCUGAGUAGCGGCGAGCGAAACGGAAUUAGCCCAAACCAAGAGGCUUGCCUCUUGGGGUUGUAGGACACUCUACACGGAGUUACAAAGGAACGAGGUAAAUGAAGAGGUCUGGAAAGGCCCGUCAAAGAAGGUAACAACCCUGUAGUUGAAACUUCGUUCCCUCUUGAGUGGAUCCUGAGUACGGCGGAA